GUUGAACGCUGGCGGCGUGCCUAAUACAUGCAAGUCGAGCGAUCGCAGGAGUAGCUUUCCUCUCUGAUGUUAGCCGCGGACGGAUGAGUACCACGUGGAUACCCUCCCUAUAGGAAUGGGAUCACUACCGGAACCCGUAGCUCAUACCGGCUAAUAUUUUAAACAGCGUGGCUCAAAACUGAAAGCGGUUCUUGCUGCCGCUUAUAGAUUGAUCCGCGGUGCAUUAGCUAGUUGGUAAGGUAACGGCUUACCAAGGCAACGAUGCGUAGCCGACCUGAGAGGAUGAUCGGCCACACUGGAACUGAGACACGGUCCAGACUCCUACGGGAGGCAGCAGUAGGGAAUCUUCCACAAUGGGCGAAAGCCUGACGGAGCAACGCCGCGUGAGUGAUGAAGGCCUUCGGAUCGUAAAACUCUGUUAUUAGGGAAGAAAAGAUGCGUAAGUAACUGUGCACAACUUGACGGUACCUAAUCAGAAAGCCACGGCUAACUACGUG
rnacentral:rRNA from 1 species